CCUACGGGUGGCAGCAGUGGGGAAUAUUGCACAAUGGGGGAAACCCUGAUGCAGCGACGCCGCGUGAGUGAAGAAGUAUUUCGGUAUGUAAAGCUCUAUCCGCAGGGAAGAAAUAGCGACCUAUUGGUCGCCAGACGGUACCUGAUUAAGAAGCCCCGGCUAACUACGUGCCAGCAGCGGCGGUAAUACGUAGGGGGCAAGCGUUAUCCGGAUUUACGGGGGGUAAAGGGAGCGUAGACGGCAGCGCAAGUCUGAAGUGAAAUGCCUGGGCUUAACCCCGGAACUGCUUUGGAAACUGUGGAGCUAGAGUGCAGGAGAGGUAAGUGGAAUUCCUGGUGUAGCGGUGAAAUGCGUAGAUAUUAGGAGGAACACCAGUGGCGAAGGCGGCUUACUGGACUGUAACUGACGUUGAGGCUCGAAAGCGUGGGGAGCAAACAGGAUUAGAUACCCGUGUAGUC
rnacentral:rRNA from 1 species